UUGCUUCAGGAAGUGAACACGCCGAUAGAUCUCAUAUCUUCUUCUUUUUCAAUCGCCUUUUGAAACCCUAAACCCAUGGCCGUUUCUAGCUGCCCUACCGCUUUCCCACCAUUCGAGUGUCGUUCUGAUCCAGAUUUCUCUGGCCUUCCGCGCGCGUUCCACCAAAGCUCAUUUCUCUUCCAAACCCGGAGUCGCUUCCUUUACCGGAUCUUCCGCUAAUCGCCAUGGUCUUUCAUCUCUCAUCUUCAGGUGUCCUCCCAACAUUGUCAGGCAACUGAGCAUCAAAGCUCGUAGAAAUUGCAGCAACAUCGGUGUCGCACAAGUCGUUGCUGCUUCUUGGUCUACAUCCAUCUCCGCUCAAAUCUGUCGAUGCAACUUCUUCUACCGCCCCUGCUGCUGUAUUGACUGGCGGCGACGACGACGACGACGAGGUGAUUGCUGUUGAUAAUAGCAGUUUUACUACUAACCCUACUGAUGUACAGGUUCAGGAUCUGACUGUGAAAGACUAGGUCGCGGCAUUGUUACUGAUGCAAUAACCACUCCUGUAGUCAAUACAUCUGCCUACUUCUUUUUCAAGAAAACUUCUGACCUCAUUAAUUUCAAGGGAGAAGCGCAGUAAAAGUUUUGAAUAUGGGCGUUACGGAAAACACCCAACUACUGUGGUUGUAGAAGAGAAAUUGAGGUUAGUAGCCAUUCCUUCUAGUUUCGAUAAAUUCGAUCACACACACACAUGGUCAAAUGCAUGAUGAGCUCUGUUAUGUUCAUUCGAUCUAUGCUCUCUGUUUUACCUUGCUUUUCUGUUCAGUUAUGUUCUUCUUCAAUGUGAUACUCGUGUGAUGAUGAUUAAGGCAUCGGUUUUGU